GCCGUGUUGCAGUCAGAGCUGCUCAUUCGGUUUCCUUUUUAAUCAAAAAAGGAACUCGGAGAGAGUGUGUGUUUUCCUGGGGCACCGCUAAAAACGUCCCACUUACGCCUAAUCCGUAACUCCAGUAAAAAUCCUUUAUGCUGAAUGGUCAUUUGAAUAGAUCAUCGAAAGCUCUUCUGAGUCAACCUAUUAAUCCAAGAGUUACAAUAAAAACAAGUUCAUUUCUUCCAAACACCUUUUUUAUGAGAUGCCAGUUGACUGGGACCCAAAGACCUAGAAGAUCCUGGCAAGCUUCAUGGAAAAAAGCAUGUUACGAUAACAGGCUGGAGCUGGCUAGAGACAGUGAAACGAUUCUGUGCUCCAGGAAGCUGACAUGAAAGAAGCCAACCAUGAGAGGUCACAGGAAUUUGUACUGCCUGUCUCCACAAUUACUAACAAGUAAGCACUAUAUGGUACCAUAGGAUGGAGGCGGACUUGGUUUCUGUUACUGACAGUUGUCACGCAGGCGAGGAACACUCAGGUGAUUCGAGACAACCUCAGAAAGGGUGGGCUGCAAAGCCAGCCCGCAGCCGGAGGUGGAGGAAGAUUACUCACCGCUUUCUAGUCCUGGGUGCAUCCUGGUAGACCUUCAGUCCGACAAGGAAUCCAUAUAGAACUGCAGUGCCAAGAAGAGGAGACCUUGGAAACUUACUGCUGGAAGCGUAAUUCAACCAACCCACCAACUUCAACCUGCAGCGUGAAGAUGAAUGUUUAGAAUGCUGUUCCUCAGAACACUCUGAGGAACCUCAAGAAGGGAUAAGUGAGGAUGAUGAAAGCAUCAUCCUUAUUGAUGCUUUGGAGGAGGAAGAGGAGGAGGAGGACCUGCAGCCCAUCUCUGGAGAUGCUUUGAUCAUUUCCUCCAUGAUCCCUAUGAGGAAGACCAUUGUUUGCUGGCAUUGGGCCGUUCCUUGGCAGCUGCAAGAGGAAAUGCUGCCAUUGUAUCAGGUUGAAGUCAAAAGAGAUGUGCAGUUGUUGGAUAUGAUCAGGACUAGCUGGACUCAUCGGGGCAUCUACACUUGUAAGACUGACAUGUUAAAUUAGAGCUUUUGUGUGCCUGUGGUCUCCAAGUUACGGUGUUGCUGUCUAGAUUAUCAGCACCCUCUGGGGUUGGUUUUGCAGAAGUGCCACUGUUAGGCUACACAGCCCACUUGGCCAGAACGACUCAUCCAUCUCUUCUCUCCAUACAUCCUCUCAUGUUGUAGUGCAUUAGCUGUCAUAAGCCGUGAUUUGGAUUUUUUAAAAAUGGCCAUUUAUCCUCUGCACCCCACACAGGCAUGCUUGGCUGUGGCGAUAUUGGUGCUGUAUGUGCUUAUAUAUUACUCGAGUUUUCCUUACGAGAACUGAUGAACAAGGGGAGGGUUGUGUGCUUGUCUUGCACAAGGGAGGUGGAAGGGGUAUGUGAUUCCGUGCGUCUUGGGUCUAGGUGGAAGAAAGCCUUUACCCUGCCCAGCUACUGCAUUCCAGUAAGAAACGUCUAAGAAUUUUAAAUUCAGAAAAACGGUAAUAAAAAUAAUGAAAAUCU